GAUUGUCACCCAGGCUGUGGCUCUGGAAGUGUGGUCUAUAGGUCUCCAGUGAGCCACGAGGAUCUGUCUGAAUGUCUCAGAGAGAAACAAAUGAAUGUCAGCCUCAAAACAAAAUCCAUGCCAGGCUCAGGUCAUCUGGCUGGUUCUCCUCACUCUUGACAUUUUAGACAACAGGACAUUCCAGGCCCCUGAGAGGGAAAAUGCAUGGCUUCGAGUCCCAGGACCGGAAUGCAGUUCAUAGGAAAACCUGACAUCACCAAAUUCCCCUCCGUGUUGCCUCUGUGAGACUGUGAAGAGCGUUUCGAAAUCUAAUGAGCAGCAAGCUUACUACCGAGUAUGAUCAUCAAUUAGUGUGAUGUGCAAAUGGGCGAAGAAAAGCAUCUAUGUUUAAAUGUGGUGCUAAGAUGGUUGAAUUCGUCGAACCCCCAGGAAAGGGUCCGGAGAGAGUGAGAGGAGGCUAGCUAGCACAGUAGAAGCACUGGGAGCAUCCCAGGCUCCAUGAGCCAUCCCGGAAAUACCAGGAAGUCAGACAUUCAGCACCUGUCAAAUGAGUACCUGGUCUGGUGUGUGCCAGGAACUAUGUUAGUCACGGAAGACACCCUGUGGAUUUUAUGGCUUAGUCAUUAAAGCCGUCAUUUAAGAUAUACAAAUAAAUAUAAGAAUUGAAUUGCAAGUUGAGGCAAGGACAACAAAGGAAGAGAGCCGUUCAAGGUAACCUUUCUCAAACUUAACGCAUAUACGCAGAUCACCCAGGGUGGCGGUUAGAGCGCAAAUUCUGAUUCAGCUGGUUUGGCUGGAGCCUGAGAGUCCGUAUUUCUGACAAGCUGUCAGGUGUCCCUGAGGCUCCUGGCCCACGGAACACACUUUGUGUACGUGGCAAGGUUGUAAGAGAUAAUAUCUGGGAGGGGGACCUCAUUUAUAUGGGGGUCAGAGGAGGCUUCUGUUGGUUAUUGGAGGGCUUCCUGGUUUCCCAACUUUAGGCGGGAGCAUGUCAGAAACAAUGUAUCUUAGUACAGGGGCCCAGGGCAUCCAAGACAUAAAUGCGAUUAUUCCUGUUUUAGAGAGCUCCUGGGAUGAGGUUUGCCAGAGCUCCUCUGGCUGCCUCUGGUAGAAAAGAUCAGGGAAGCAGAGCCAGAGAGGGACCUAGACAUCAUUCAGUCCAUCAGGCUAUUUAACAGAAGAGGAACUUGAGAUAUUCAUGAGUCAGUGGCAGAUCUUGGAUUCAGAUUCUCUGGUGGUCUUUCCACUGCCCCAAGAGAGACACUAGCUUCAGAAGGCCAAGGUUGCUGAUGCUCAUUCUCCCCUCCCUUUAACAAUCCUUGCAUUUGGAGGUAGAGGGGCAGGGUGUAAAGAGAUGGUGACUUUUAUAGUUUGCUGGGAGUUGUUUAUGCCCGAGACACUAUGUAGUGCUAUCCAUCAACUGCUCUUUUGAAAGGUGCUUCUCAGUCCUACCAUUCUCUCCCAAAUCUUGCCUGGGGAUCUGGGUCCUGGCUGGGGAAAUGUGGACCAUCUUGCUCAAUGACUUGGCUUUGUGGUCAGUGGCACGUAGGUUAGACACAGACGGAAGCUAAUGGACCCUCCCAGGCUGUCAUUCUCAGCUGCCACUAAGUAGCUCAGGAAACUUCAUCUCCACAGUUAACAACCAGAAGCUUCCUUCACUGUAACUCUUUUGUUUCAGACUCCAGGUGUCUGAUGGGUAUUUCCAACAGUGUUUCUGUGGAUGGAGGGAGGAACCCUCACAUUUAACCUACUUGUCCCCAGGUGGAAUGACUCAGUUGCAAUCAUGUUCCCUGCCCAGGACUCUGUUUUCCUCUUCCUUUUUGUCACUGUAAUUAGAGGGCUAAUCAUCCUUCCCUCCACUGGCUUGUUGCAGACACAACAAGAUAUUGUAUAUAAAGUACUGAAAAGUGCUCGAAAUGAUAGCUAUUUUGGUUGAUCCUGAUGAUGUGCUUAAUUUGCCCCCAAUACCUUGAAAAGCUCGUUUCUUUUACAGACCAGGGCUGUGCAGAAGCAAUCAGAUACCAAGUGUGCUCUGGAUCCAAAUGUCCUUUGAAACUGAAAAUGGCCCAAGGCAACCAACAUUUAGAAUAUACCAGGGCGAUUACAUAUCCCCUUCUUUGCUGGCUUCAUAUUGUCUUGUAAGGUGGGUCAUGGAGAUUAGGGGCCAGGAACGUUUCCCUUACUUUCAAGCUAGCAUGAGGAAGCCCUCCAUGAGGCUGCUUAGUCCUCCAGGGAUAACUGCUUUCCAUGCAUCAUUUCACUUGGUCUUUACCCCAGGAGUUUGUGACUGAUGAAGCCUUGGAAAUUUCAGAAGGUCCUACAAAUGGUGGAUAGCAGGGAAAAGAUUCACAUCAAAUGUGUUGAAUUGGAAGGCAAUGCUCUUCAAUGCCAUGCUACGCUGCCUUGCUCGAGUAGGGCAGGAUGGAGCUGGGGCAGAAAAUUCUCCUGGGACUUAAUGAGACAGUAGGUGGAGGUCAUAGAAAAUCCUCAAGAGAAGACUUUUUUUUUUGCUGCCUUGGUUUUGGUAUGGUUAAUCCAGGAGGAAACUAGAACAGAGUGGCUUAAAGCAGUGCUUUUCCCACUAGGGAUCUUGUUAAAAUGCUGACUCUGGUUCAAUAGGUCUAGGAUGGACCCUCCAGGUUUUUCAUUUCUAAUAAGCUUUUAGAUGAUGCCAAUGCUGCUGGGCUAUGCACCACACUAUGAGUGGCAAGGGCUUAAAGACAUUACUCAUUAGGCCAUCAGAACACCUGAGGUCUUCCUUCCCUCAAGGAAUUGGGAGUGGGUGUUGGCUACAGGCUGGGCUCAUACAUAGGUUUAAGAAAUCUUCUUACUCUCCUGAUGGACAUAGCAUCCUACUCUCUUACCUACCUCUAUCAGCGCUUCUUGCCAGCUAUCUCUGCUUCCUGCUCUUCCCAUGUGCAGUAUGGACUGACUUCUGCUCUGGCCCUGCCACUCCUCUCCUGACACUUGGAUUUGCCUGCUUCUGGGCUGUGCCUCUGCUCACUCUUCUGCCUCACCUGGAAAGCCCUGCCCCAGCUCUACCUGCCACUCUCCUUCCUACAGAGAGCUCUUCUCUACUGAAGAAUAGCAGUUAAUAAAUGCAGAAAGAAUGACAGGCUUUGGCAAUCAUCAUUCUCCGACCCUUGGCUCAUUCCCCGAUUCAGACAAGGAUCGUGCCCAAACUGUGGAAUGGAAGAUAUUUAUAUGUUUUUUAAGUACUACCCCAGAGAUUACUUAUUAGUAAGAAAGACAAAAGUGUUCACCAGCAGUCACCACCUUAAUCAAGUAACCAUAUAUCAUCACCAAUAAUGGGAUAAAUUGACAUACGCCCCUAGGUGUGCUAUAGUAGUAUGUAACAUUACCUAUGUACUAUUCUUGCCCCCAAAAGUUUCAUCUGAAUAUAAUCAUAAUGAAUAUGAAGCCAAAUCCAAAACUUGGCCAAUUUUAUAAGCACACUGACCCGGACCCUUUGAAAAAGUCAACGUCCUGAGAAACAAACAACAAAGGGCAGAGGAAAUUGCUAAAUGAUUGCUUCUUAAUCUUUAGUGUGCAUAGGAGUCACCCAGGGAAUUUAUUAAAGGGCAGAUUUUUAUUCAUUUGGUCUAGAUUUGGGCGUGGGUUUCUGCAUUUCCAACAAGCUCCCAGGA